CGAAAGCCUGACGGAGCAAGACCGCGUGGGGGAGGAAGGCUCUAGGGUUGUAAACCCCUUUUCUUUGGGAAGAACAAAAUGACGGUACCAAAGGAAUCAGCCUCGGCUAACUCCGUGCCAGCAGCCGCGGUAAUACGGAGGAGGCAAGCGUUAUCCGGAAUGAUUGGGCGUAAAGCGUCCGCAGGUGGCGAUUCAAGUCUGCUGUCAAAGCACGGGGCUUAACUCCGUAAAGGCAGUGGAAACUGAAUAGCUAGAGUGCCGUAGGGGUAGAGGGAAUUCCCGGUGUAGCGGUGAAAUGCGUAGAGAUCGGGAAGAACAUCGGUGGCGAAAGCGCUCUACUGGACGGCAACUGACACUCAGGGACGAAAGCUAGGGGAGCG
rnacentral:rRNA from 1 species